UCUCUGUCCACUCUCCAAAGCCCAUCCCAACAACAAAGAAUGAGUAACCAUCCAUGUGAAAGCUCUGGACUACAGUGUCAUUGUUCUGCAAUACGAUUUCUAUAAAUCCCUUGUAUGUGGCAUUGAUAAUGGACGUGUCCACCUUGGGUGGUCUGUUCAUUGGCUUAGUUGGGAAAUCAAGCUUGUAGUCACCCUUCACAUAGUACAGAUCAGCAAGCCUAAUUGGAGUAGCAGGAUUUUUGAAUGAAAUCCCAUUAAAGGUAGCUCGAAGCUUUCCAUCAAUUGACACUGGUGGCACACUCUUUAGCAAAUAAAAAUCUGUGACAUUAAUUUGACCAUAGUGGAAAG
rnacentral:misc_RNA from 1 species